CGUCUUCAGCUUGAUCAUUCAGCCUAACAAGGAGAGUGAGCUGAUGGCGGCUUUUCUGGUCCUCAUGGAUCGCAUCUGUACUUAGAAGCAUGUUGCUGUAACAUGGCUCUUCUCCAUGAGUGUGUCUGAGUUCAUAUUGAAAAUUUUUAGCUAUGUUAAUGUGCAGUCGCCAACAAAGUGCCAGUGCUGCAAAAAGUCCAUCUAAUGUUCGAAAACAUUAGAAGAAUCUUAAUCACAUGAUGCUUCCAUGUAGAUGUUUCUUAGUGGGGAGGGAGAGUUCUGAAAGAAGUACUAUACAGCUAAUUGGAAAAGUUCACGAAGCACUAAAUAGAAGGAGAGUGUCAAGAAGUGACAGAUUACUGACGAGGAAUAUGGGAAGAAACAGCUAAUUCAGAUGCCUUCAAAAGGGCCAAAUGCAAGUUUUGCCUUUCAUAUAAAUAAUAUAUUCACACACAGAGAAGUAGUCGAUGAUGCCUAAGAACUGAGAACAUUUGAGCAACCAACCACAUCAAGCAAGCAGUUCUUCCUUAUAUACGGGUCUUCACAGUUCUUCCAGUUCUUGGUGAUUGCCACAUUAGUGUCGUUGAGCGUUCCUUAUGCUCUCCACCUCAUUUCUCUACUAGCAUACUAAUCCCUUGCGCAGAUCAAUGUGAGUUUAGAACUUGAUGUGAUGACAGUCGGGUGCGCAGAGUGUCACCGUUGGCCUUUGG
rnacentral:lncRNA from 1 species